rnacentral:rRNA from 1 species
GGACCCGCACAAGCGGUGGAGCAUGUGGUUUAAUUCGAUGCAACGCGAAAAACCUUACCUACUCUUGACAUACUUGGGAGCUCUUGUAAUGAGAGUGUGCCUUUUGGAACCAAGAUACAGGUGCUGCAUGGCUGUCGUCAGCUCGUGUCGUGAGAUGUUCCGUUAAGUCGGAUAACGAGCGCAACCCUUACCCUUAUUUGCCAGCGAUUCGGUCGGGAACUAUAAGGGGACUGCCGGUGAUAAACCGGAGGAAGGUGAGGACGACGUCAAGUCAUCAUGGCCCUUACGAGUAGGGCUACACACGUGCUACAAUGGGGAAUACAGACGGACGCUAAGCCGCGAGGUGGUGCUAAUCCCAAAAAAGUGUCCUCAGUUCGGAUUGGAGUCUGCAACUCGACUCCAUGAAGUUGGAAUUGCUAGUAAUCGCUGAUC